GAUUAAUCUCCCUUUCCCCCUCCAUCUCCCUCCGCCGCUCUCCCUCCCAAACCCGCAUCCGCCUCCCAUCUUCCCUCGCCCCUCUUCCCCUACGCAGCAGCCGCCGCCGGGCCGUCCAAGAGGGGGAGCGAUGGCUCCCUAUUAAUCUCCAUUUCCCCCUUCCUCCAUCCCCUCUGCCGCUCUCCCCUCCCAAACCCCUCCUCGCACCCGCCCAUCUUCCCCUACGCCGCCGCCGCCGCCGCCGGGCCCUCCAAGAGGCGACCAUGUUGGAGCUGCCCCUGGUGAAGGGGGACCCCUUCCACCAUGUCAUGGAGGCGAUCCUCGACCUGUCCGAUGUGGCCCACGUCGUGUGCACCACAAGGGGCGUGAACCUCCAGGCCGUGGACACCAAACGCGCCGCGAUCGUCUCGCUCCUCUUCCCCGCCGAGGACUUCAAGGGCUACACCUGCGACGAGUACAUCUCCAUUGGGAUCCCAAUCCGCGACUUGGUCAAUGCCAUCCGCUGCGGCGACGACAAAGACACCAUCACCCUCAAGAUCGGCGAAGAAAACUUCAAGAACAUGACCUUAUCAUUGGUGUCGCCCGAGAAGAGAACUGUGGAUUUCGUAUUCUGGAUUGUGGAUGCCCAACUCGCGCGCAUUGAACUCCCAGAUAGGCAGGAUUUGGAGUACCAGGCCUCUGUCAAAAUGCCAUCUGUGGAGUUUAGGCGGAUCUGCAAGUACCUCAGUAACUUCGGAGAAGAAGAUGGUGUCAUCUGGGUGACUGACGAGGACCUCACAUACUUUGCUAAGGGAACAAAUGGGGACGUCUACAUGGAGUACACGCAGCAAGAAGAAGAUACUACUACCUUUAAAAUAGAUAUGCAAGAACCAAUUACACUGACCUUGGAUCUGAAGUACUUGAACACCUUCGCCAAGGUGUUCACCCUGUCUGGUCAAGUGAAGCUCUUUCUCUCGAAGACACAUCCCCUCGUGGUCGAAUGCGAAAUUGGACAGAAGGGCCGCAUCAGAUGUUUCAUGGUACCGAAGAUGGAAACAGAGUUCCAAGGGGAAGAGGAAGAGAAAGAGGCCCAUCUUCCCCUAUGCCGCCGCCGCCGGGCCCUCCAAGAGGCGAGCGCAGCCACCAGGUUGGAGCUGCCCCUGGUGAAGGGGCACCUCUUCCACGAUGUCCUGGAGGCGAGCCUCGACCUGUCCGAUAUGGCCCUCAUCGAGUGCUUCGGAGCGUGUUUGAAGCUCCAGGCCGUGGACACCGGACGCGGCACGUUCGUCUCGCUCCUCUUCCCCGCCAAGGACUUCCCUGGCUACAUCUGCAACGAGCACUUCUCCAUGGGGAUCCCAAUCCGCGACUUGGUCAAGGCCAUCCUCUGCGGCGACAAAGACACCAUCACCCUCAAGGUCGUCGACGAAAACAUUACCUUAUCAUUCGUGUCGCCCGAGAAGAACACUGUGGCUUACGAUUUGCGGAUUAUGGACGGCGAAAUCCCGCACUUGAAAAUCGCAGAUUGGCAGGAUUUGGAAUUGAAGUACCAGACCUCUGUCAAAAUGCCAUCUGUGGAGUUUAGGCGGAUCUGCAAGUACCUCAACAACUUCAGAGAUGAAGAUGCUGUAGGUGGAAUUUCGGUGACCGACAAGGGCCUCAAGUUCUUUGCUAAGGGAAAAAGUCGGCGCGUGAACAUGAAGCAAGAAGAUACUACUACCUCUAAAAUAGAUGUGCAAGAACCAAUUACACUGACCUUUGAUCUGAAGUACUUGAACACCUUCGCCAAGGUGUUCACCCUCUCUGGUCAAGUGAAGCUCUUUCUCUUGAAGACACAUCCCCUCAUGGUCGAAUGCAAAAUUGGACAGAAGGGCCACAUCAGAUGUUUCGUGGCACCAAAGAUGGAACCAGAGUUCCAAUGGGAAGAAGAAGAGGAAGAGACCCAAGAAGAUAUUAAUGCAAACAUCUCUGCUAAUAAGCUUGCAUUGAGGGGAUGUGUCGACUCGAUGUACAAGCAGAGAGAAGAGAACAGAGCAGAGGAAGGUGACCCUGAGCAGGGCAUAUCAUCAUGUGGGUGUCGCAUGAUCUAUCCAACACCAUACUGCUGCUACUACUACAAGUUUACAACCCUAACACCGGGGACGCCACGCCUACUGCUUCGCGCAGGGCCUGGAGGCGCGCCUGGCCGGCACGGGCGGCCAAGUCCAAGUGUACAGGUCGCUCACCGUGAAACGCGCCUCGCUGGUGGAGUUCCUCAAGGCCUACCAGCUCUUCAUGUCCACCUGCUGCCUCAGGAAGGUGGCCUUCACCUUCGCCAACAAGGCCAUCUUUGACGCUGCGGCGGGGAGGAGCAAGCUGCACAUCGUGGAUUACGGCCUCCAUUCCGGAUUCCAGUGGCCGGAGCUGCUGCGCUUGUUGGCAGCCAGGGACGUACGGCGGGCCGCCGGAGGUGAGGAUCACCAACGUCGACCUCCCGCAGCCGGGGUUCCGGCCAGAGAACCACAUGGCGGAGAUGGGCCAUCGCCUGAGCAGCUGUGCCCGUCAGUUCUGCGUGCCGCUCAAGUUCCGUGCCGUGGUGGCAGAGUGGCACAUCGACGAUCUGAAUGUCGAGCCGGAUGAGGUCCUUGUCGUGAACGACAUGUUCAAUUUCAGGACCUUGAUGGAUGAGAGCGUCCUAACAGACAGCCCGAGCCCCAGGGAUGUUGUCCUCAGCAACAUCAGCAAGAUGAAGCCUGAGGUGUUCAUUCAGGGCAUCGUGAAUGGUUCAUAUGGCACCUUCUUCCUGUCGCGGUUCCGGGAGGCCCUCUUUUACCACUCUGCACUGUUCGAUAUGUUUGAUGCCAUGGCUGCUGCAGGGGUGGAAGGGACGGAUCCUCUUAGCACACUCAAUGUGGGUGUCGGAUGAUGAUUUGCACUUCUCUCACACUGAAAAAUAAACUGAUAUGGAUGUUAAUAGCAGAUACAGGUGUGGAUAGAACUGUUAUGUGAACUUGUAGAUAACUGAAGAUAUAUAUAGAUUUGGAUUAGCUGCAUGUUUCUUUAUAGCUUCAGGUUGGCAGCCACUACAUCAACUCUUGAUCUUCUACCUUUUCACUUGUGUCCUCUGGUUUGCUCACACUACAUAUAGGCAAUUCUGAAGAUGGUCAGGCCACUGAACUCAAAGACUAGAAGAGAAAAGGAAAAUACAAGAAGAAUUCAGUGGCCUCACCGGAUGCAUUUGUAAAUAUUUGAAAUCUGAAAAUUUUGGCUCAUGCCAAUAAAAAGAAUGCAAUAGGUUUGUUGCUAAAUGGAGUUUCCAUGAUCUUCUUUAUUUGUCUGAAAAUGAUUUUUGCCGAUAGACUUUGAGCAGGAUAAGUUAAAUUAAAUGUAUCAUUGAAAUUUCAACUGCCACCUAAUGUGUAGAGUCAGAUCUGUCAGUGCUUAUUUUCCUCUAGAGACCAGAUGCAUAUUAAGUAGUGAUUUUGGUUUGCACAUUCUUUUGGUGUGAUCACGUUAUGUUUUUUCUCUAGUCAAUCAGGUCUGAACCUAUUUCUGUACUCUGAAAUAAAACGUUCCAAUUCAAUCAGUCUUGGUUUGGUGAGGUGCUUACGACUUGCAUUGAAUUCAUGAAUUGGCUCUUUUUUACGAGGGAGUUGCUGUUCUGUUCUAUGCAUUUCAGGUCAUGGAUCCAUAAUGAAGUGGAUUCAUCUUCUUGAAAUUAAGAGGGCAACUGGAUUUGUGUGUGGGGGAUAAUCUACAGUUGAUUUUAAAGUUCUUCCUCGGCCUUGCCCAUUGCCCAGUGGUGCCAGUGCCAGUAAGCACUCAGUCUCCGCUGAUGACAUGUUGCUCUCCUACACCCCAGGCGUGCUCAUGGAGGAAAACACUGGAGACAAACUCCUAUCCAACACUCUUAUCACUUUGCAAGGCUGCAGUACAGGUGCAGAAGGCCUUUGCCCAGAUCCUUCUCCCCUUCCUUCAGCGCAACAGUGUCGACACCAUCAACAGGGACAGCAUGGAGAGGGCAAAGAAUUUGUUACUGGUUUGCAUUAGCGACCAAUGCACACACAGCUCAGCCUUCAUCAAGGGUGCUGAUGCAGCGGUGUUGUUGAAGGGCAUGGAAGAGGGAAGCAGACUCUUCUUGCAAAGAGACAACGGCUUCAGAAAGGACCAGCAGUUACUUUUGCAACCAUUGUACGAGGAACAUUGGGAAUGUGGCCAGCCAUUGUCUCCAUUGUGAAAGCAGCAUUGGAGUUAUAGGAAUCGUCCUGAUGGAUCAGCUAACUACCAGAGACUCCAAUUACCUCCCAUGAACGGGUUUGCUAGUUU